rnacentral:rRNA from 3 species
CAAAGAUUAAGCCAUGCAUGUCUAAGUACAAGCCGAUUUAAGGCGAAACCGCGAAUGGCUCAUUAAAUCAGCUAUGAUUCAUUGGAUCUGUACCCACACUUACUUGGAUAACUGUGGUAAUUCUAGAGCUAAUACAUGCACCACGUCUCUGACCGCAAGGGAAGAGCGCUUUUAUUAGUUCAAAACCGGUCGGGCCUCGGUCCGUCACCCCACCGUGUUGAAUCUGAAUAACUUGUCGCUGAGCGCACGGUCUCCGCACCGGCGCCGCCUCUUUCAAGUGUCUGCCUUAUCAGCUUUCGAUUGUAGGUUAUACGCCUACAAUGGCUAUAACGGGUAACGGGGAAUCAGGGUUCGAUUCCGGAGAGGGAGCCUGAGAAACGGCUACCACAUCU